AUUGAACGCUGGCGGCAGGCCUAACACAUGCAAGUCGAGCGGAGCGGCGGACGGGUGAGUAAUGCCUAGGAAUCUGCCUGGUAGUGGGGGAUACCGUCCGGAAACGGGCGCUAAUACCGCAUACUAUCAGAUGAGCCUAGGUCGGAUUAGCUAGUUGGUGGGGUAAAGGCCUACCAAGGGGACGAUCCGUAACUGGUCUGAGAGGGUGAUCAGUCACACUGUGACUGAGACACGGUCCAGACUCCUACGGGAGGCAGAAGUGGGGAAUAUUGGGCAAUGGACGAAAGGCUGAUCCAGCCAUGCCGCGUGUGUGAAGAAGGUCUUCGGAUUGUAAAGCCCUUUAGGUAGGGAGGCGUUACCAACAGAAUAAGCAACGGCUAACUACGUGCCAGCAGCCGCGGUAAUAC
rnacentral:rRNA from 1 species